rnacentral:rRNA from 1 species
CCCUUAGAUGUUCUGGGCCGCACGCGCGCUACACUGACGCAUUCAGCGAGUUUUUCCUGCAUCGAAAGGUGUGGGUAAUCUUUUGAACCUGCGUCGUGAUGGGGAUAGAUUAUUGCAAUUAUUAAUCUUCAACGAGGAAUGCCUAGUAAGCGUGAGUCAUCAGCUCGCGUUGAUUACGUCCCUGCCCUUUGUACACACCGCCCGUCGCUCCUACCGAUUGAAUGGUCCGGUGAAGCGUUCGGACCGUGGCCUUUGGACGGUUCGCCGUCUGUUGGCUGCGGGAAGUUCGUUAAACCUUAUCAUUUAGAGGAAGGAGAAGUCGUAACA